AUUGAACGCUGGCGGCAUGCCUUACACAUGCAAGUCGAACGGCAGCACGGGGCAACCUGGUGGCGAGUGGCGAACGGGUGAGUAAUGCAUCGGAACGUGCCAUUGAGUGGGGGGAUAACGUAGCGAAAGUUGCGCUAAUACCGCAUAUUCUGUGAGCAGGAAAGCAGGGGACCGCAAGGCCUUGCGCUCUUUGAGCGGCCGAUGUCAGAUUAGCUAGUUGGUGAGGGUAACGGCUUACCAAGGCGACGAUCUGUAGCGGGUCUGAGAGGAUGAUCCGCCACACUGGAACUGAGACACGGUCCAGACUCCUACGGGAGGCAGCAGUGGGGAAUUUUGGGACAAUGGGGCGCAAGCCUGAUCCAGCCAUGCCGCGUGAGUGAAGAAGGCCUUCGGGCU
rnacentral:rRNA from 1 species